rnacentral:lncRNA from 1 species
UCUAUAUAAAGUGUCAUUUUCUUUAUUUCUUUUUUUCAUGUUCAUUUUUUGAAAACGACUAGUUAUGAUAUCAAUACGUUAUAUUUUAUAAGUUUAGAUUUAAAAAAAUUCAAAUAUCAAUACAUUAAAAUUUAAGACAAUAAAAUUAAUCAUAAAAAAUAUGCAUAUUCUCUUGUUUUGGUGUUUAAAACAUAUAUUUAAUUUUUAAAAAUGGUAUAAAAUAAGAAAUUC